rnacentral:lncRNA from 1 species
UUGGCAGAAUAAUCAAAUAGUGACACAUGAAGUGUCAUGUGUACCUUAUGCCGACGUAUAGGAAUCAAUUUUUAACAACAAAAAUAGAUGAAUUUUUUUACAAAAUGACCAGUUUACUCUUUGAUAGGGAUGUGCAAAUUUCGGGUAAAAUUAAAUUAAUUCGGUUAACCGAUCGAAUUCGGUUAAUCAGUCGGUUAACUGAAUUAAUUUGGUCGGGGUUGGUUAAUAAUUUUUUAGAAGUUCGGUUAACUUUUAAUUCGGUUCGAAAUCAGUCGGUUAACCGAAUUAAUCGAACUUAA